rnacentral:lncRNA from 1 species
AGAACGGGAAAGUGAUCCAGGAGAUUGUGGAUAAAUCUGGUGUGGUGAGGGUUCGAGUGGAAGGUGAUAAUGACAAGAAGAACCCCAGGGAGGAGGUAUGGGUACGGGGCAAGUGGGCAUAGAGAUUGGUUUCCAGAAGUAAAUGGGAUUGUCCUCUGAGGGCUGGGAUUGUUCUUUGAGAGGGUGGAGUACGGAAAGUUGUUUAACACUAGUAGAUUUAGAGCCCAGAAUGAUCCCACUGGGCAGGCUCCCCUAGGAGACUGGGCGGCGUUAAUCCUUCCAUUUCAUUUUCCUUUCUGAUCCAUCGUUUCUGCUCUCUGUUCUCUAGGGAAUGGUUCCCUUCAUUUUUGUUGGCACCCGAGAGAACAUCAGCAAUGCCCAGGCUUUGCUGGAGUAUCACCUCUCCUACCUGCAGGAGGUAGAGCAGCUUCGCUUGGAGAGGCUACAAAUUGAUGAGCAGCU